GCGCAGCAAGCGCGAAACCUUUACACUGCACGACAGUGCGAUAGGGGGACUCCGAGUGCGAGGGCAUAUAGUCCUCGCUUUUCUGUACCGUAAGGUGGUACAGAAACAAGUGCUGGGCAAGACCGGUGCCAGCCGCCGCGGUAAUACCGGCAGCACAAGUGAUGGCCGAUAUUAUUGGGCCUGAAGCGUUCGUAGCUGGCCAGGCAAGUUCGUUGGGAAAUCCACGCGCUUAACGCGUGGGCGUCCAGCGAAAACUGUCUGGCUUGGGGCCGGAAGACUCGAGGGGUACGUCCGGGGUAGGAGUGAAAUCCCGUAAUCCUGGACGGACCGCCGGUGGCGAAAGCGCCUCGAGAGGACGGACCCGACAGUGAGGGACGAAAGCCAGGGUCUCGAACCGGAUUAGAUACCCGGGUAGUCCUGGCCGUAAACGAUGUCCGCUAGGUGUGGCGUAGGCUACGAGCCUGCGCUGUGCCGUAGGGAAGCCGUGAAGCGGACCGCCUGGGAAGUACGUCUGCAAGGAUGAAACUUAAAGGAAUUGGCGGGGGAGCACUACAACCGGAGGAGCCUGCGGUUUAAUUGGAGUCAACGCCGGG
rnacentral:rRNA from 1 species